rnacentral:rRNA from 1 species
AGGGCGCAGGGUGGAUGCCUUGGCACUAAGAGCCGAUGAAAGACGUGAUAAGCUGCGAAAAGCUUCGGGGAGGAGCACAUAUCCAUUGAUCCGGAGAUAUCUGAAUGGGGAAACCCGGCAGAGGAAACCUCUGUCAGCAUGUAGUGAAUUCAUAGCUGCAUGUGGGGAACCCGGGGAACUGAAACAUCUAAGUACCCGGAGGAAGAGAAAGAAAAUUUAUCGAUUUCCAAAGUAGCGGCGAGCGAAAUGGAAGGAGCCCAAACCGUGGUGCGUGCAUCGCGGGGUUCGGACUGCGACAUGAGAGACGUAAGAUAGGAGAACGGACUGGGAAGUCCGGCCGGAGAGAGUGAAAGCCUCGUAUCCGAAAUCCCAAGUCAUCUAGCAGGAUCCAGAGUAGGACGAGACACGAGAAACCUUGUCUGAAGGAGCGGGGACCACCCCGUAAGGCUAAAUACUUCUUAGUGACCGAUAGCGCAUAGUACUGUGAAGGAAAGGUGAAAAGUACCCCGGGAGGGGAGUGAAAGAGAACCUGAAACCCUGUGUCUACAAGCUGUGGGACCUCUUUAUAUGAGGGACUGCGUACUUUUUGUAGAACGGUCCGGCGAGUUGUGCGUACUGGCGAGGUUAAGGACUUAAGGUCCGGAGCCGAAGUGAAAGCAAGCGUUAAGAGCGCGGUAAGUCAGUGAGUGCAGACCCGAAACCGGGUGACCUAUCCAUGUCCAGGUUGAAGCUUCCGUAAGAGGAAGUGGAGGACCGAACCCACAUCCGUUGAAAAGGGUGGGGAUGAGGUGUGGAUAGCGGAGAAAUUCCAAUCGAACCCGGAGAUAGCUGGUUCUCCUCGAAAUAGCUUUAGGGCUAGCCUCAUGGAUCAUUGAUGGGGGUAGAGCACUGAAUGUGCGCGGGGGCCACAAAGCCUACCAAACGCUAUCAAACUUCGAAUACCAUACAAUGCAGACCAUGGGAGUCAGUCCGCGAGAGAUAAGUUCCGCGGGCAAAAGGGGAACACCCCAGAUCAACCGCUAAGGUCCCCAAGUUCACGUUAAGUGGAGAAGGAUGUGGAAUUGCACAGACAACCAGGAUGUUGGCUCAGAAGCAGCCACACAUUUAAAGAGUGCGUAAUAGCUCACUGGUCGAGUGAUUGUGCGCCGAAGAUGUCCGGGGCUAAACGUGACACCGAAGCGAUGGGUGCAUCUGAAAGGAUGCGCGGUAGAGGAGCAAUGUGCAGAGGCAGAAGCCGUAUCGAGAGGCACGGUGGACACUGCACAAGAGAGAAUGCCGGUAUGAGUAGCGAGAGGCAUGCGAGAAACAUGCCCGUCGAAAGCCCAAGGUUUCCUGGGGAAGGUUCAUCCGCCCAGGGUAAGUCGGGGCCUAAGCCGAGGACGGAAGUCGUAGGCGAUGGACAGCAGGUGUAGAUUCCUGCACUACCGAUGGAAUGAAGCAGUGACACAGAAGGAUAACUCGAGCAGGGUGAUGGUCAACCCUGUGCAAGCAUCAAGGUUGGGUUGUAGUGAAGUACGCAAUCCUAUAAGCUGAGGUGUGAUGCGGACCGAAAUUUCAGUAGGGAAGCGAGUGAGUUCACGCUGGCGAGAAAAGCUGCUAGUACAUCCAAAGGUACCCGUACCGGAAACCGACGCAGGUGGGCGAGGAGAGAAUCCUGAGACGAACGGGAGAACCCUUGUUAAGGAACUCGGCAAAAUGACCCCGUAACUUCGGGAUAAGGGGUGCCUGCGAGAGCAGGCCGCAGAGAAUAGUCACAAGCGACUGUUUAGCAAAAACACAGGUAUCUGCGAAAGCGAGAGCUGACGUAUAGGUGCUGACGCCUGCCCGGUGCUGGAAGGUUAAGGGGAAGUGUUAGGGGAAACCCGAAGCAGAGAACCGAAGCCCCAGUAAACGGCGGCCGUAACUAUAACGGUCCUAAGGUAGCGAAAUUCCUUGUCGGGUAAGUUCCGACCCGCACGAAUGGUGUAACGACUUGUGAGCUGUCUCAACAGGGGGCCCGGUGAAAUUGAAGUAUGGGUGAAGAUGCCCAUUACCCGCGACUGGACGGAAAGACCCCGUAGAGCUUUACUGUAACCUGACAUUGGAUCUUGAUAACGGAUGCACAGGAUAGGUGGGACGCUGGGAGACGAGGACUUUGGUUUUCGUGGAGCGGCCGUUGGGAUACCACUCUUCUGUUAUUGAGAUUCUAACCUCAAGCCGUGAGCCGGAUGAGAGACAGUGUCAGGCGGACAGUUUGACUGGGGCGGUCGCCUCCGAAAGAGUAACGGAGGCGCCCAAAGGUACCCUCAGAAUGGAUGGAAACCAUUCGAAGAGAGCAAAGUCAGAAGGGUGCUUGACUGCGAGACCAACAAGUCGAGCAGGUACGAAAGUAGGGCUUAGUGAUCCGGCGGUAAGAGAGUGGAAUUGCCGUCGCUCAACGGAUAAAAGCUACCUCGGGGAUAACAGGCUGAUCUCCCCCAAGAGUUCACAUCGACGGGGAGGUUUGGCACCUCGAUGUCGGCUCGUCGCAUCCUGGGGCUG